rnacentral:tRNA from 1 species
CAAAUCAAAGCUUUUAUUGAAGUAUUUUAUUUACAUUAAAAAGAAUAUUAAUUAAUAUGAUUUGA